rnacentral:rRNA from 1 species
GAUGAACGCUGGCGGUAUGCUUAACACAUGCAAGUCGAACGGUCUCUUCGGAGAUAGUGGCGGACGGGUGAGUAACGCGUAAGAAUCUACCUAUAGGUUCGGGACAACAGUUAGAAAUGACUGCUAAUACCGGAUGUGCCUUCGGGUGAAAGUUUUAAUGCCUAUAGAUGAGCUUGCGUCCGAUUAGCUAGAUGGAGUGGUAACGGCACACCAUGGCGACGAUCGGUAGCUGGUCUGAGAGGAUGACCAGUCACACUGGAACUGAGACACGGUCCAGACUCCUACGGGAGGCAGCAGUGGGGAAUUUUCCGCAAUGGGCGAAAGCNUGACGGAGCAAUACCGCGUGAGGGACGAAGGUCUGUGGAUUGUAAACCUCUUUUGUUAGGGAAGAUAAUGACGGUACCUAACGAAUAAGCAUCGGCUAACUCCGUGCCAGCAGCCGCGGUAAGACGGAGGAUGCAAGCGUUAUCCGGAAUUAUUGGGCGUAAAGCGUACGUAGGCUGUUAGAUAAGUCUGUUGUCAAAGCGCGAGGCUCAACCUUGUAAAGGCAAUGGAAACUGUUUGACUAGAGAGAGAUAGGGGCAGGAGGAAUUCCAGGUGUAGCGGUGAAAUGCGUAGAUAUCUGGAAGAACACCAGUGGCGAAAGCGU